rnacentral:rRNA from 1 species
UACGUAGGGUGCAAGCGUUAAUCGGAAUUACUGGGCGUAAAGCGUGCGCAGGCGGUGAUGUAAGUCAGUUGUGAAAUCCCCGGGCUCAACCUGGGAACUGCAUCUGUGACUGCAUCGCUGGAGUGCGGCAGAGGGGGAUGGAAUUCCGCGUGUAGCAGUGAAAUGCGUAGAUAUGCGGAGGAACACCGAUGGCGAAGGCAAUCCCCUGGGCCUGCACUGACGCUCAUGCACGAAAGCGUGGGGAGCAAACAGG